rnacentral:tRNA from 2 species
GAGAUCGUAGCUCAGUCGGUAGAGCAACGGACUUUUAAUCCGUAGGUCCUGGGUUCGAGCCCCAGCGAUCUCA